rnacentral:rRNA from 1 species
UGGGGAAUAUUGCACAAUGGGGGAAACCCUGAUGCAGCGACGCCGCGUGAAGGAAGAAGUAUUUCGGUAUGUAAACUUCUAUCAGCAGGGAAGAAAAUGACGGUACCUGACUAAGAAGCCCCGGCUAACUACGUGCCAGCAGCCGCGGUAAUACGUAGGGGGCAAGCGUUAUCCGGAUUUACUGGGUGUAAAGGGAGCGUAGACGGCGGUGCAAGUCUGAUGUGAAAGCCCGGGGCUCAACCCCGGGACUGCAUUGGAAACUGUGCGGCUAGAGUACUGGAGAGGUAAGCGGAAUUCCUAGUGUAGCGGUGAAAUGCGUAGAUAUUAGGAGGAACACCAGUGGCGAAGGCGGCUUACUGGACAGUAACUGACGUUGAGGCUCGAAAGCGUGGGGAGCAAACAG